GCAUUGUCGGACCCACAAAAUUCUCUACCCCCCCUGUUAGACCUCCUACAGGAAUUUGGCAAUAUUUCCUACUACCGCCUCAACCAAGACAAAACCCAAGCUCUACCAAUAAACCUGCCAAAGCCCUUGCUGGACACACUCCAGACCUCAUACCAGUUCGACUGGAAACCACACUCUCUCACAUACCUGGGAAUAAAGAUAGC